rnacentral:rRNA from 1 species
GAUCAUGGCUCAGGAUGAACGCUAGCGACAGGCUUAACACAUGCAAGUCGAGGGGCAGCAUGAACUUAGCUUGCUAAGUUUGAUGGCGACCGGCGCACGGGUGAGUAACGCGUAUGCAACUUGCCUAUCAGAGGGGGAUAACCCGGCGAAAGUCGGACUAAUACCGCAUGAAGCAGGGAUCCCGCAUGGGAAUAUUUGCUAAAGAUUCAUCGCUGAUAGAUAGG